rnacentral:rRNA from 1 species
CACGUGAGCAACCUGGCUCUAAGAGGGGGACAACAGUUGGAAACGACUGCUAAUACCGCAUAACGUAUCGGGAUGGCAUCUUCCUGAUACCAAAGAUUUUAUCGCUUAGAGAUGGGCUCGCGUCUGAUUAGAUAGUUGGCGGGGUAACGGCCCACCAAGUCGACGAUCAGUAGCCGGACUGAGAGGUUGAACGGCCACAUUGGGACUGAGACACGGCCCAGACUCCUACGGGAGGCAGCAGUGGGGGAUAUUGGACAAUGGGGGCAACCCUGAUCCAGCGACGCCGCGUGAGGGAAGAAGGUUUUCGGAUUGUAAACCUCUGUUGACGGAGAAAAAAAUGAUGGUAUCCGUUUAGAAAGCCACGGCUAACUACGUGCCAGCAGCCGCGGUAAUACGUAGGUGGCAAGCGUUGUCCGGAAUUACUGGGUGUAAAGGGAGUGUAGGCGGGAUGUCAAGUCAGAAGUGAAAAUUACGGGCUCAACUCGUAACCUGCUUUUGAAACUGACAUUCUUGAGUGAAGUAGAGGCAAGCGGAAUUCCUAGUGUAGCGGUGAAAUGCGUAGAUAUUAGGAGGAACACCAGUGGCGAAGG